UAAGGAAUAUUGGACAAUGGAGGCAACUCUGAUCCAGCCAUGCCGCGUGAAGGAAUAAGGCCCUAUGGGUUAAACUUCUUUUAGACGGGACAAAACCCCUUUACGUGUAAAGGGUUGAUGGUACUGUCAGAAUAAGCAUCGGCUAACUUCGUGCCAGCAGCCGCGGUAAUACGAAGGAUGCAAGCGUUAUCCGGAAUUAUUGGGUUUAAAGGGUGCGUAGGCGGACUAAUAAGUCAGUGGUGAAAGCCUGCAGCUUAACUGCAGAAUUGCCAUUGAUACUGUUAGUCUUGAGUACAGUUGAGGUAGGCGGAAUGUGUCAUGUAGCGGUGAAAUGCUUAGAUAUGACACAGAACACCGAUUGCGAAGGCAGCUUGCUAAGCUGUAACUGACGCUGAGGCACGAAAGCGUGGGGAGCAAACA
rnacentral:rRNA from 1 species